rnacentral:rRNA from 1 species
AACGAACGCUGGCGGCAUGCCUAACACAUGCAAGUCGAACGAACCCUUCGGGGUUAGUGGCGCACGGGUGCGUAACGCGUGGGAAUCUGCCCUUGGCUUCGGAAUAACAGUUAGAAAUGACUGCUAAUACCGGAUGAUGUCUUCGGACCAAAGAUUUAUCGGCCAGGGAUGAGCCCGCGUAGGAUUAGGUAGUUGGUGGGGUAAAGGCCUACCAAGCCGACGAUCCUUAGCUGGUCUGAGAGGAUGAUCAGCCACACUGGGACUGAGACACGGCCCAGACUCCUACGGGAGGCAGCAGUGGGGAAUAUUGGACAAUGGGCGCAAGCCUGAUCCAGCAAUGCCGCGUGAGUGAUGAAGGCCUUAGGGUCGUAAAGCUCUUUUACCCGGGAUGAUAAUGACAGUACCGGGAGAAUAAGCUCCGGCUAACUCCGUGCCAGCAGCCGCAGUAA